rnacentral:misc_RNA from 1 species
UACGAAGGGGGCUAGCGUUGUUCGGAAUUACUGGGCGUAAAGCGCACGUAGGCGGAUUGUUUAGUGAGGGGUGAAAUCCCAGGGCUCAACCCUGGAACUGCCUCUCAUACUGGCAAUCUCGAGUCCGGCAGAGGGGAGUGGAAUUCCGGGUGUAGAGGUGAAAUUCGUAGGUAUUCGGAGGAACACCAGUGGCGAAGGCGGCUCACUGGUCCGGUACUGACGCUGAGGAGCGAAAGCGUGGGGAGCAAACAGA